rnacentral:rRNA from 1 species
UACGGAGGGUCCAAGCGUUAUCCGGAAUCAUUGGGUUUAAAGGGUCCGUAGGCGGUUUUGUAAGUCAGUGGUGAAAGCCCAUCGCUCAGCGGUGGAACGGCCAUUGAUACUGCAAGACUUGAAUUAUUGAGAAGCAACUAGAAUAUGUAAUGUAGCGGUGAAAUGCUUAGAGAUUACAUGGAAUACCAAUUGCGAAGGCAGGUUGCUACCAAUACAUUGACGCUGAUGGACGAAAGCGUGGGGAGCGAACAGG